rnacentral:rRNA from 1 species
AUUCCCCUAGUAACGGCGAGUGAAGCGGGAUGAGCUCACCAUGUGAAUCUGCGCAACCAGCAAUGGUGCGCCGAAUUGUGGUCUGAAGAAGUAUUGUCGGCCGCGAGUCCGGGUUAACUGUAUUGGAAAAUACGGCCUGUGAGGGUGAAAGCCCCGUUCAUGCCUGGACUUGUUGCGCUUUGGCACAUGCUUUCUACGAGUCGAGUUGCUUGGGAUUGCAGCUCAAAUUUGGUGGUAAAUUCCAUCUAAAGCUAAAUAUUGGUGUGACACCGAUAGUGUACAAGUACCGUGAGGGAAAGAUGCAAAGAACUUUGAAAAGAGAGUUAAAGAGUACCUGAAAUUGUUAAAAGGGAAGCGAAGGAAUCCAGUGUAAAGCGAAGCCAUUCUUCUCAAGCCACUUGUGGUUUGGGCGCUGUGGUUAGCUGUACUAAUUCUGGGCUUGACCUGGGGCAUACGUUCUUCGAGUAGACGACUCUUCGGAGUGAGUGCUCGUUUUUCAUAUCCUGGGUCGGGCUGAGGUCAGUCACUCUGUGCUCGUGAUGAAUU